GUUGACCUCGGAUCAGGUAGGAAUACCCGCUGAACUUAAGCAUAUCAAUAAGCGGAGGAAAAGAAACCAACAGGGAUUGCCCUAGUAACGGCGAGUGAAGCGGCAACAGCUCAAAUUUGAAAUCUGGCGCAAGCCCGAGUUGUAAUUUGCAGAGGAUGCUUUGGGCGAGGCGCCUACCGAGUCCCCUGGAACGGGGCGCCGUAGAGGGUGAGAGCCCCGUACGGUGGGACGCCGAGCCUCUGUAAAGCUCCUUCGACGAGUCGAGUAGUUUGGGAAUGCUGCUCUAAAUGGGAGGUAUAUCUCUUCUAAAGCUAAAUACCGGCCAGAGACCGAUAGCGCACAAGUAGAGUGAUCGAAAGAUGAAAAGCACUUUGAAAAGAGAGUUAAACAGCACGUGAAAUUGUUGAAAGGGAAGCGCUUGUGACCAGACUUGUGCCCGGCAAUUCAGCUGGCGUUCUCGCCAGUGCAUUUUGCCGGCUCAGGCCAGCAUCAGUUUGCCGUCGGGGAGAAAAACAGCGGGAACGUGGCUCCUCGGAGUGUUAUAGCCCGCUGUACAAUACCCUUCGGCGGACUGAGGUUCGCGCUCCGCAAGGAUGCUGGCGUAAUGGUCAUCAGCGACCCGUCUUGAAACACGGACCAAGGAGUCGUCCUACUAUGCGAGUGUUCGGGUGCUAAACCCCUACGCGGAAUGAAAGUGAACGCAGGUGAGAGCUUCGGCGCAUCAUCGACCGAUCCUGAUGUUCUCGGAUGGAUUUGAGUACGAGCAUAGUGGGCCGGACCCGAAAGAAGGUGAACUAUGCCUGUAUAGGGUGAAGCCAGAGGAAACUCUGGUGGAGGCUCGCAGCGGUUCUGACGUGCAAAUCGAUCGUCAAAUAUGGGCAUGGGGGCGAAAGACUAAUCGACU
rnacentral:rRNA from 1 species